rnacentral:rRNA from 1 species
AGAGUUUGAUCUUGGCUCAGAACGAACGCUGGCGGCGUGCUUAACACAUGCAAGUCGAACGAGAAAGGCGGGCUUCGGUCUGCCGAGUAGAGUGGCGCACGGGUGAGUAACGCGUAGGUAAUCUACCCUCAUAUCUGGGAUAACCUGUCGAAAGGCGGGCUAAUACGGGAUACGGUUUUUCUGACGCGAGUCAGGGAAAGGAAAGGAGACCUCUGAAACAAGUUUCCGUAUGAGGAUGAGCCUGCGUACCAUUAGCUAGUUGGUGGGGUAACGGCUUACCAAGGCGACGAUGGUUAGCGGGUCUGAGAGGAUGAUCCGCCACACUGGAACUGGAACACGGACCAGACUCCUACGGGAGGCAGCAGUGAGGAAUUUUGCGCAAUGGGGGAAACCCUGACGCAGCGACGCCGCGUGGGUGACGAAGGCCUUCGGGUCGUAAAGCCCUGUCAAGUGGGAAGAAAUGUUAUGCGGUUAAUACCCGGAUAAUUUGACGGUACCACUAAAGGAAGCACCGGCUAACUCCGUGCCAGCAGCCGCGGUAAUACGGAGGGUGCGAGCGUGUUCGGAAUUACUGGGCUAAAGGCGCNUAGCGGUUUCAGUCAGUGUGAAAACACGGGCAACGUGGACGNAUCUUAACUGCAGGCUAAUAUG